rnacentral:rRNA from 1 species
GACGAACGCUGGCGGCGUGCUUAACACAUGCAAGUCGAACGGAAAGGCCCUGCUUUUGUGGGGUGCUCGAGUGGCGAACGUGUGAGUAACACGUGAGUAACCUGCCCUUGACUUUGGGAUAACUUCAGGAAACUGGGGCUAAUACCGGAUAGGAGCUCCUGCUGCAUGGUGGGGGUUGGAAAGUUUCGGCGGUUGGGGAUGGACUCGCGGCUUAUCAGCUUGUUGGUGGGGUAGUGGCUUACCAAGGCUUUGACGGGUAGCCGGCCUGAGAGGGUGACCGGCCACAUUGGGACUGAGAUACGGCCCAGACUCCUACGGGAGGCAGCAGUGGGGAAUAUUGCACAAUGGGCGGAAGCCUGAUGCAGCAACGCCGCGUGCGGGAUGACGGCCUUCGGGUUGUAAACCGCUUUCGCCUGUGACGAAGCGUGAGUGACGGUAAUGGGGAAAGAAGCACCGGCUAACUACGU